rnacentral:rRNA from 1 species
AGUGAACGCUGGCGGUAGGCCUAACACAUGCAAGUCGAACGGCAGCACAGUAAGAGCUUGCUCUUACGGGUGGCGAGUGGCGGACGGGUGAGGAAUACAUCGGAAUCUACUUUUUCGUGGGGGAUAACGUAGGGAAACUUACGCUAAUACCGCAUACGACCUACGGGUGAAAGCAGGGGAUCUUCGGACCUUGCGCGAUUGAAUGAGCCGAUGUCGGAUUAGCUAGUUGGCGGGGUAAAGGCCCACCAAGGCGACGAUCCGUAGCUGGUCUGAGAUGAUGAUCAGCCACACUGGAACUGAGACACGGGCCAGACUCAUACGGGAGGCAGAAGUGGGGAAUAUUGGACAAUGGGCGCAAGCCUGAUCCAGCCAUACCGCGUGGGUGAAGAAGGCCUUCGGGUUGUAAAGCCCUUUUGUUGGGAAAGAAAAGCAGCAGGUUAAUACCCCGCUGUUCUGACGGUACCCAAAGAAUAAGCACCGGAUAACUUCGUG